rnacentral:rRNA from 1 species
AACGAACGCUGGCGGCAGGCUUAACACAUGCAAGUCGAGCGCCCCGCAAGGGGAGCGGCAGACGGGUGAGUAACGCGUGGGAACGUACCUUUUGGUUCGGAACAACUCCGGGAAACUGGAGCUCAUACCGGAUAAGCCCUAACGGGGAAAGAUUUAUCGCCGAAAGAUCGGCCCGCGUCUGAUUAGCUAGUUGGUGAGGUAACGGCUCACCAAGGCGACGAUCAGUAGCUGGUCUGAGAGGAUGAUCAGCCACACUGGGACUGAGACACGGCCCAGACUCCUACGGGAGGCAGCAGUGGGGAAUAUUGGACAAUGGGCGCAAGCCUGAUCCAGCCAUGCCGCGUGAGUGAUGAAGGCCUUAGGGUUGUAAAGCUCUUUUGUCCGGGAAGAUAAUGACUGUACCGGAAGAAUAAGCCCCGGCUAACUUCGUG